GUGCAGCAGCCGCGGUAAUACGUAGGUGGCAAGCGUUGUCCGGAUUUAUUGGGCGUAAAGCGAGUGCAGGCGGUUUCUUAAGUCUGAUGUGAAAGCCCCCGGCUCAACCGGGGAGGGUCAUUGGAAACUGGGAGACUUGAGUGCAGAAGAGGAGAGUGGAAUUCCAUGUGUAGCGGUGAAAUGCGUAGAUAUAUGGAGGAACACCAGUGGCGAAGGCGGCUCUCUGGUCUGUAACUGACGCUGAGGCUCGAAAGCGUGGGGAGCAAACAGGAUUAGAUACCCGCGUAGUCC
rnacentral:rRNA from 1 species